ACACCAUCCAGAGCGGUCGAGAGUCCUGGCUCGUUGACACCGCAGCAACCCCCCAACGGAAGCCUCCCGCGGGUACGGGUGCUACAGCCAGGUUCGAUGGAGC
rnacentral:ncRNA from 2 species